rnacentral:misc_RNA from 1 species
GUGACACCCAUUUUGAGUCUCCGUGAACUCUGCAUCUUAUGCAUUUUUCUAUUUUUGCCUCGGAGGCCCCAUUACGCAUUCUUUGAGUCAAGCCUACUCUUUGAGAAUCGAAGAACAAAUCCCAUAAAUCGGCAAACAGGUCCCAAAAUUGAAAGUAUACGGACCAGAUCAAGAAGUUGAAGAAUUAGGCCUAACAGUUUUUUAGUGUUGCAC